UACGUAGGGUGCGAGCGUUGUCCGGAAUUAUUGGGCGUAAAGAGCUUGUAGGCGGUUUGUCGCGUCUGCUGUGAAAUCUCAAGGCUCAACCUUGAGCUUGCAGUGGGUACGGGCAGACUAGAGUGCGGUAGGGGAGAUUGGAAUUCCUGGUGUAGCGGUGGAAUGCGCAGAUAUCAGGAGGAACACCAAUGGCGAAGGCAGAUCUCUGGGCCGUAAACUGACGCUGAGGAGCGAAAGCAUGGGGGAGCGAACAGG
rnacentral:rRNA from 1 species